AUGUCCAUGAUGGGUGAGCUGAAGUUCUUCCUUGGUCUUCAAAUACGUCAGCAAAGCAAUGGCAUCUUCAUAUCUCAAGAGAAAUACCUCAAAGACCGCUUGAAGAAGUUUGGAAUGCAAGACUGCAAAGGUUACACGACGCCAAUGCCAACCAAAAGUCAGCUGGAUCCUGACGCCAAUGGUAAAGAGUUCGAUCAAAAGGUAUACCGCUCCAUGAUUGGUUCUUUACUUUAUUUAUGUGCAUCUAGGCCAGAUAUAAUGCUUAGUGUUUGCAUUAACAUAUAUCUUCAAUUAAUGAAGACUUACACUCUAAGUGUGAAUACAUUAACGCGGAAUUUGACUUCGGAGCGCCUGUACAAGACUGAUCCCGAAGAGGAUUACAAUCAGCGCCAUUGUCUUCCCUGCCAACAUGACAGGCUCGAAGCCUAA
rnacentral:rRNA from 1 species